rnacentral:rRNA from 1 species
AUUGAACGCUGGCGGCAUGCCUUACACAUGCAAGUCGAACGGCAGCGCGGGGCAACCUGGCGGCGAGUGGCGAACGGGUGAAUAACAUAUCGGAACAUACCCUAGAGUGGGGGAUAACGUAGCGAAAGUUACGCUAAUACCGCAUACGCACUAAGGUGGAAAGUGGGGGAUUCGAAGAACCUCAUGCUCAUGGAGUGGCCGAUAUCUGAUUAGCUAGUUGGUGAGGUAAAGGCUCACCAAGGCGACGAUCAGUAGCUGGUUUGAGAGAACGACCAGCCACACUGGAACUGAGACACGGUCCAGACUCCUACGGGAGGCAGCAGUGGGAAUUUUGGACAAUGGGGGGCAACCCUGAUCCAGCAAUGCCGCGUGAGUGAAGAAGGCC